GAAAGAGAAGCACAUGAUCAUUGGUUGAAUACUAUUCGGCAGUCUGUUGCCAGACGUGGGCAUAGUCACUACACUAGUCUAUGGAUCUUGUGGCUGGAUGCGAGUAUCUGUUGCAUCCGUGGAUUUAGUAGUGAAACCAGCCAAAGGAAGAACAAAAAGGAAUCUACACCGACUGAAGACGUUCUUUGAACUAUCUCGACUGCGUGCAACUCCUGUGUAAAGAAGAAGAAGCAGCAUUGGAGGAGCCCCUAGCAGCAGGCACCGUCGAGUUAAAGGUUAGUCUCUGUUCCCUCGUACUCAAAG